GGUUAAGCGACUAAGCGUACACGGUGGAUGCCCUGGCAGUCAGAGGCGAUGAAGGACGUGCUAAUCUGCGAUAAGCGUCGGUAAGGUGAUAUGAACCGUUAUAACCGGCGAUUUCCGAAUGGGGAAACCCAGUGUGAUUCGUCACACUAUCAUUAACUGAAUCCAUAGGUUAAUGAGGCGAACCGGGGGAACUGAAACAUCUAAGUACCCCGAGGAAAAGAAAUCAACCGAGAUUCCCCCAGUAGCGGCGAGCGAACGGGGAGCAGCCCAGAGCCUGAAUCAGUGUGUGUGUUAGUGGAAGCGUCUGGAAAGGCGCGCGAUACAGGGUGACAGCCCCGUACACAAAAAUGCACAUACUGUGAGCUCGAUGAGUAGGGCGGGACACGUGGUAUCCUGUCUGAAUAUGGGGGGACCAUCCUCCAAGGCUAAAUACUCCUGACUGACCGAUAGUGAACCAGUACCGUGAGGGAAAGGCGAAAAGAACCCCGGCGAGGGGAGUGAAAAAGAACCUGAAACCGUGUACGUACAAGCAGUGGGAGCACAGAGCAAUCUGUGUGACUGCGUACCUUUUGUAUAAUGGGUCAGCGACUUAUAUUCUGUAGCAAGGUUAACCGAAUAGGGGAGCCGAAGGGAAACCGAGUCUUAACUGGGCGUUAAGUUGCAGGGUAUAGACCCGAAACCCGGUGAUCUAGCCAUGGGCAGGUUGAAGGUUGGGUAACACUAACUGGAGGACCGAACCGACUAAUGUUGAAAAAUUAGCGGAUGACUUGUGGCUGGGGGUGAAAGGCCAAUCAAACCGGGAGAUAGCUGGUUCUCCCCGAAAGCUAUUUAGGUAGCGCCUCGUGAAUUCAUCUCCGGGGGUAGAGCACUGUUUCGGCAAGGGGGUCAUCCCGACUUACCAACCCGAUGCAAACUGCGAAUACCGGAGAAUGUUAUCACGGGAGACACACGGCGGGUGCUAACGUCCGUCGUGAAGAGGGAAACAACCCAGACCGCCAGCUAAGGUCCCAAAGUCAUGGUUAAGUGGGAAACGAUGUGGGAAGGCCCAGACAGCCAGGAUGUUGGCUUAGAAGCAGCCAUCAUUUAAAGAAAGCGUAAUAGCUCACUGGUCGAGUCGGCCUGCGCGGAAGAUGUAACGGGGCUAAACCAUGCACCGAAGCUGCGGCAGCGACGCUUAUGCGUUGUUGGGUAGGGGAGCGUUCUGUAAGCCUGCGAAGGUGUGCUGUGAGGCAUGCUGGAGGUAUCAGAAGUGCGAAUGCUGACAUAAGUAACGAUAAAGCGGGUGAAAAGCCCGCUCGCCGGAAGACCAAGGGUUCCUGUCCAACGUUAAUCGGGGCAGGGUGAGUCGACCCCUAAGGCGAGGCCGAAAGGCGUAGUCGAUGGGAAACAGGUUAAUAUUCCUGUACUUGGUGUUACUGCGAAGGGGGGACGGAGAAGGCUAUGUUGGCCGGGCGACGGUUGUCCCGGUUUAAGCGUGUAGGCUGGUUUUCCAGGCAAAUCCGGAAAAUCAAGGCUGAGGCGUGAUGACGAGGCACUACGGUGCUGAAGCAACAAAUGCCCUGCUUCCAGGAAAAGCCUCUAAGCAUCAGGUAACAUCAAAUCGUACCCCAAACCGACACAGGUGGUCAGGUAGAGAAUACCAAGGCGCUUGAGAGAACUCGGGUGAAGGAACUAGGCAAAAUGGUGCCGUAACUUCGGGAGAAGGCACGCUGAUAUGUAGGUGAAGCGACUUGCUCGUGGAGCUGAAAUCAGUCGAAGAUACCAGCUGGCUGCAACUGUUUAUUAAAAACACAGCACUGUGCAAACACGAAAGUGGACGUAUACGGUGUGACGCCUGCCCGGUGCCGGAAGGUUAAUUGAUGGGGUUAGCGCAAGCGAAGCUCUUGAUCGAAGCCCCGGUAAACGGCGGCCGUAACUAUAACGGUCCUAAGGUAGCGAAAUUCCUUGUCGGGUAAGUUCCGACCUGCACGAAUGGCGUAAUGAUGGCCAGGCUGUCUCCACCCGAGACUCAGUGAAAUUGAACUCGCUGUGAAGAUGCAGUGUACCCGCGGCAAGACGGAAAGACCCCGUGAACCUUUACUAUAGCUUGACACUGAACAUUGAGCCUUGAUGUGUAGGAUAGGUGGGAGGCUUUGAAGUGUGGACGCCAGUCUGCAUGGAGCCGACCUUGAAAUACCACCCUUUAAUGUUUGAUGUUCUAACGUUGACCCGUGAUCCGGGUUGCGGACAGUGUCUGGUGGGUAGUUUGACUGGGGCGGUCUCCUCCUAAAGAGUAACGGAGGAGCACGAAGGUUGGCUAAUCCUGGUCGGACAUCAGGAGGUUAGUGCAAUGGCAUAAGCCAGCUUGACUGCGAGCGUGACGGCGCGAGCAGGUGCGAAAGCAGGUCAUAGUGAUCCGGUGGUUCUGAAUGGAAGGGCCAUCGCUCAACGGAUAAAAGGUACUCCGGGGAUAACAGGCUGAUACCGCCCAAGAGUUCAUAUCGACGGCGGUGUUUGGCACCUCGAUGUCGGCUCAUCACAUCCUGGGGCUGAAGUAGGUCCCAAGGGUAUGGCUGUUCGCCAUUUAAAGUGGUACGCGAGCUGGGUUUAGAACGUCGUGAGACAGUUCGGUCCCUAUCUGCCGUGGGCGCUGGAGAACUGAGGGGGGCUGCUCCUAGUACGAGAGGACCGGAGUGGACGCAUCACUGGUGUUCGGGUUGUCAUGCCAAUGGCACUGCCCGGUAGCUAAAUGCGGAAGAGAUAAGUGCUGAAAGCAUCUAAGCACGAAACUUGCCCCGAGAUGAGUUCUCCCUGACUCCUUGAGAGUCCUGAAGGAACGUUGAAGACGACGACGUUGAUAGGCCGGGUGUGUAAGCGCAGCGAUGCGUUGAGCUAACCGGUACUAAUGAACCGUGAGGCUUAACCUU
rnacentral:rRNA from 1 species